rnacentral:rRNA from 1 species
CACGGUGAGUAACACGUAUCCAACCUGCCGUCUACUCUUGGACAGCCUUCUGAAAGGAAGAUUAAUACAAGAUGGCAUCAUGAGUCCGCAUGUUCACAUGAUUAAAGGUAUUCCGGUAGACGAUGGGGAUGCGUUCCAUUAGAUAGUAGGCGGGGUAACGGCCCACCUAGUCUUCGAUGGAUAGGGGUUCUGAGAGGAAGGUCCCCCACAUUGGAACUGAGACACGGUCCAA